rnacentral:rRNA from 1 species
CCUACGGGUGGCAGCAGUGGGGAAUAUUGGGCAAUGGGCGAAAGCCUGACCCAGCAAUGCCGCGUGAAUGAAGAAGGUCUUAGGAUUGUAAACUUCUGUCCUAUGGGAAGAGAAAAAUGACGGUCCCAUAGGAGGAAGCCCCGGCUACCUAGGUGCAAGCAGCCGCGGUAAUACGUAGGGGGCGAGCGUUGUCCGGCAUUACUGGGCGUAAAGAGGGCGUAGGCGGCACGACAAGUAGAAUGUGAAAGACCCGGGCUUAACUUGGGGGUUGCAUGGGAAACUGUAGAGCUUGAGUACAGGAGAGGCAAGCGGAAUUCCUAGUGUAGCGGUGAAAUGCAUAGAUAUUAGGAGGAACACCAGUGGCGAAGGCGGCUUGCUGGACUGAAACUGACGCUGAGGCGCGAAAGCGUGGGGAGCAAACAGGAUUAGAUACCCCAGUAGUC